UACGUAGGUGACCAGCGUUGUCCGGAAUCAUUGGGCGUAAAGAGCGCGUAGGCGGUCCGGUAAGUCCGCUCUGAAAGUCCGGGGCUCAACCCCGGGAGGCGGGCGGAUACUGUCGGGCUAGAGUCCGGAAGAGGCGAGUGGAAUUCCUGGUGUAGCGGUGAAAUGCGCAGAUAUCAGGAGGAACACCAAUGGCGAAGGCAGCUCGCUGGGACGGUACUGACGCUGAGGCGCGAAAGCGUGGGGAGCAAACAGG
rnacentral:rRNA from 1 species